CAGUAGCCGCGGUAAUACGAAGGGUGCAAGCGUUACUCGGAAUUACUGGGCGUAAAGCGUGCGUAGGUGGUGGUUUAAGUCCGUUGUGAAAGCCCUGGGCUCAACCUGGGAAUUGCAGUGGAUACUGGGUCACUAGAGUGUGGUAGAGGAUAGUGGAAUUUCCGGUGUAGCAGUGAAAUGCGUAUAGAUCGGAAGGAACAUCUGUGGCGAAGGCGACUAUCUGGGCCAACACUGACACUGAGGCACGAAAGCGUGGGGAGCAAACAGGAUUAGAUACCCCAGUAGUCCCUGUCUCUUAUAC
rnacentral:rRNA from 1 species